rnacentral:rRNA from 1 species
UACGUAGGGGGCUAGCGUUGUCCGGAUUUAUUGGGCGUAAAGAGCGUGUAGGCGGCUUGUUACGUCGGGUGUGAAAGCCCAGGGCUCAACCCUGGCAGUGCACCCGAAACGGGGAAGCUGGAGUACUGGAGAGGCGAGUGGAAUUCCUGGUGUAGAGGUGAAAUUCGUAGAUAUCAGGAGGAACACCGGUGGCGAAGGCGACUCGCUGGCCAGUAACUGACGCUGAGACGCGAAAGCGUGGGGAGCAAACAGG